rnacentral:rRNA from 1 species
AUUGAACGCUGGCGGCAUGCCUUACACAUGCAAGUCGAACGGCAGCACGGGGGCAACCCUGGUGGCGAGUGGCGAACGGGUGAGUAAUACAUCGGAACGUGUCCUGUAGUGGGGGAUAGCCCGGCGAAAGCCGGAUUAAUACCGCAUACGACCUGAGGGAGAAAGCGGGGGAUCUUCGGACCUCGCGCUAGAGGGGCGGCCGAUGGCAGAUUAGCUAGUUGGUGGGGUAAAGGCCUACCAAGGCGACGAUCUGUAGCUGGUCUGAGAGGACGACCAGCCACACUGGGACUGAGACACGGCCCAGACUCCUACGGGAGGCAGCAGUGGGGAAUUUUGGACAAUGGGGGCAACCCUGAUCCAGCAAUGCCGCGUGUGUGAAGAAGGCCUUCGGGUUGUAAAGCACUUUUGUCCGGAAAGAAAACGUCUUGGCUAAUACCUGAGGCGGAUGACGGUACCGGAAGAAUAAGCACCGGCUAACUACGUGCCAGCAGCCGCAGUAACAC